AAAAAAAAUUAUUAUGGUUUAAAAAGUUUAUUGAAAAUUUAUUUUACAUAUUAAUUUUAGUAAUAAAUUUAAUUUAUUUAAAUAAUAAAUUAUUUAUAAAAAUGAAAUAGUAAAUAAUAUUAAAUAAUUUAAGAAAUUAAGAUUUAGUAAUAUUUUAAUUAAUAACUAAUUUUGUGCCAGCAGUUGCGGUUAUACAAUAGUUAAAUUAAAUUUUAUUGGUUGUUAAUGAACAAAAUUAAAUAUUUUUAAAAUUAAAUUUUAAAUUAUUAGGUGAAAUUUUAAUUUAAUAAAAUUUUAAUUUUAUAAUUGUGAUUUAAUAAAAUUUUUUAUAAACUAGGAUUAGAUACCCUAUUAUUAAAAUUUUAAAUUUAUAAUACCAAAAUAGUAGAUAAAAUAAUUUAUUGAAACUUAAAUAACUUGGCGGUAUUUUAGUUCAUUUAGAGGAAUCUGUUUAAUAAUUGAUAAUCCACGAAUAAAUUUACUUAAUUUAUAAUUUUGUAUAUCGUUGUUAAAAAAAUAUUUUUUUAUAAAAAUAAUAUUUUAAAUUUUAUAUAUAAAAUUAAAUCAGAUCAAGAUGCAGAUAAUAAUUAAGAAUAUAAUGGAUUACAAUAAAUUUAUUUAAAUGAAUAUUAAUUUUUAAUAAUUAAUUGAAAAUGGAUUUAAAUGUAAUUUUAUUUAGUUUAAUAAAAUGAUUAUAAAUUAAAAUAUGUACAUAUUGCCCGUCGCUUUCAUAUAGAAAUUGGAAUAAGUCGUAACAAAGUAGAGGUACUGGAAAGUGUUUCUAGAAAGAA
rnacentral:ncRNA from 1 species